UGAAUACUUUCUAAAUUGCCAGUCCAUGCAAAUGAUGCUUCUCUUUUCUAUUUUAGCAUGUUUUCCUGCUACUGGACAGAAUGUCAGACCAACAAAAAUGGGCAACAGCAAUUAGAAGACUAAACCCUUGGCCCUUGGGCAUCAGUUGAAGUAGUGAAAAGGGUGGGAUAGAUUGGUGCCCGUACCCUGACCUAAUACACACUGCAAAGAUGCCAGAUAUUGAAAUGAAAUUAUCCUACUCAGUUGCAUAGCUACCUCAUAAAUGUUCAGUUUAUGGAAUUGAAGAAUCACUCUCUAAAAUGGCAUUACAUUUUGAUUAAACAAUUAGCUCCUACAUCAAUCUUAAAAAAGGCACACCAUUUUACCUCUACGUCAAAGUUCAUAAUUCUUUUCCCUCUAAGCUACUGAAACUUUAAAUAAACUAAUAUUAAGAUCCGAAUCAUCCAAUACAGAGACAGGCUUAUUAUAAACCCAAAACCCAAUAAAAUUAAAUCAAAAGGAGGCAAAAUAAAGAAUCUGAGCAAGAAAGGGC
rnacentral:misc_RNA from 1 species